rnacentral:lncRNA from 1 species
UAUAUAUAUAUAUAUAUAUAUAUAUAUAUGAAAGACCCAUUUCUCUUUAAUAUCCCAAUGGAUUCUGAAUAUUCAGUUAAUUCAAUGAUCCUGAUCACUGGAGAGAACUAAAACUCAGAAUUAGGAUAUUCCAAUGGAAUAUCUGUGCUGUAAUUAUUGCGUGUAAUAAGCCAGUUGCAAGGCUAUAUUGGGAAAAAUGGUACGGUUUCUUUUCUUUUUUAUAAUGGUUUCUGUUUAUGCAUGAAGCAGCAACACAUGCGACAGUUCAAUCGAGUUUAUUUUUUAUAAGAAUGUGAAAGAGCACGUUCGAACAUCUUUACACACUCCAAGCUGUUCGAAUGUGCUACAGAGAGAAAAACGAAAUCGAAUGUCAACAUCAUAGAUCAUCGCAAAUGGUCUUUUUGGUAUGUAUUGCUCUCCUCUCCGAAACGAGUUAUCACUUCUCCGAAUCAUUCACCUGUUCUGACAGGAUUUUGCCAAAACCGCAGUUUCUCUGCUGCAAUAUUUUAUUAAUUCUGAGAGAAAUUAGAAAGCAUAACAACAGAAUUCGGUAAGAUAUAUAUGUAAAAAACCAUGGACAUCGUCGUCGAUAACGAAGGAAGUUCUGGAGCCGAAGAGGGAUCGAUCGUUAGGAAAUUUGAAUAUAAGCUAUUGUUAAACGGGAUUAAUUUGCUUCAAAACAAAUUUAAGAUGUCGAGAAGACACGUUAUAAACGAAAAACAACCUCUAGUGGCAAAUUUCUCCUUCGGAUAAGAGAGUAAAAGGGAUAUAAAUAAUUUCUUUCCCCACGCGUGUGACACUAGAUGAUGGAUUACUUCGCACCGGAUGUAGAUUCACUACGCUCAACUUGUACUCAGUUAGUGUGGAUCUUCCGGGAGUUAACGUCUCCCUCCUUCCACCAGAAGAAAAGAAACGUCAAUUUCGUAGCAUCUUCGCCCCAAGUGACUUUACUUGUCUUUUAAAUGGAUAAAGCGCCAAGAGUAUCAGCAAAGACUCUGAAUUUUCCUUUAACUAUCGGCAAAGAGGCAACUACAACUAAUAAUUCGCGUAAUCGCAUUAAGAUCUUCAACAUGUUUAUUGUCUUAAAUGCCAGACAUACGCGGAUAAUUUCUGAACACGCUAUUAAACCAUCUUCUCUUUAAGUUUCCUAACGGCAUACAUAAGCUUCUUAACCAUUUGCAAUCGUAUUAAACUCGGAUUUUUAUUCGUUCGUAAAGCGUAC